CGGAUGAGAAGCUUGCUUCUCUGAUGUUAGCGGCGGACGGGUGAGUAACACGUGGAUAACCUACCUAUAAGACUGGGAUAACUUCGGGAAACCGGAGCUAAUACCGGAUAAUAUUUUGAACCGCAUGGUUCAAAAGUGAAAGACGGUCUUGCUGUCACUUAUAGAUGGAUCCGCGCUGCAUUAGCUAGUUGGUAAGGUAACGGCUUACCAAGGCAACGAUGCAUAGCCGACCUGAGAGGGUGAUCGGCCACACUGGAACUGAGACACGGUCCAGACUCCUACGGGAGGCAGCAGUAGGGAAUCUUCCGCAAUGGGCGAAAGCCUGACGGAGCAACGCCGCGUGAGUGAUGAAGGUCUUCGGAUCGUAAAACUCUGUUAUUAGGGAAGAACAUAUGUGUAAGUAACUGUGCACAUCUUGACGGUACCUAAUCAGAAAGCCACGGCUAACUACGUGCCAGCAGCCGCGGUAAUACGUAGGUGGCAAGCGUUAUCCGGAAUUAUUGGGCGUAAAGCGCGCGUAGGCGGUUUUUUAAGUCUGAUGUGAAAGCCCACGGCUCAACCGUGGAGGGUCAUUGGAAACUGGAAAACUUGAGUGCAGAAGAGGAAAGUGGAAUUCCAUGUGUAGCGGUGAAAUGCGCAGAGAUAUGGAGGAACACCAGUGGCGAAGGCGACUUUCUGGUCUGUAACUGACGGCUGAUGUGCGAAAGCGUGGGGAUCAAACAGGAUUAGAUACCCUGGUAGUCCACGCCGUAAACGAUGAGUGCUAAGUGUUAGGGGGUUUCCGCCCCUUAGUGCUGCAGCUAACGCAUUAAGCACUCCGCCUGGGGAGUACGACCGCAAGGUUG
rnacentral:rRNA from 1 species